rnacentral:rRNA from 1 species
UACGGAGGGUGCAAGCGUUAUCCGGAUUCACUGGGUUUAAAGGGUGCGUAGGAGGGCAGGUAAGUCAGUGGUGAAAUCUCCAAGCUUAACUUGGAAACUGCCGUUGAUACUAUCUGUCUUGAAUACCGUGGAGGUGAGCGGAAUAUGUCAUGUAGCGGUGAAAUGCGUAGAUAUCUGGAGGAAUACCGGUGGCGAAGGCGGCAUCCUGGACCGACAUUGACGCUGAUGAGCGAAAGCUAGGGGAGCAAACGGG